rnacentral:rRNA from 1 species
UACGUAGGGGGCAAGCGUUGUCCGGAAUCAUUGGGCGUAAAGAGCGUGUAGGCGGCCCGAUAAGUCCGCUGUGAAAGUCCAGGGCUCAACCCUGGAAUGCCAGUGGAAACUGUCGGGCUGGAGUCCGGAAGAGGCGAGUGGAAUUCCUGGUGUAGCGGUGAAAUGCGCAGAUAUCAGGAGGAACACCAAUGGCGAAGGCAGCUCGCUGGGGACGGUACUGACGCUGAGACGCGAAAAGCGUGGGGGAGCAAAACAGG